rnacentral:rRNA from 1 species
GCACCGGCUAACUCCGUGCCAGCAGCCGCGGUAAUACGGAGGGUGCGAGCGUUAAUCGGAAUUACUGGGCGUAAAGCGCAUGCAGGUGGUUUGUUAAGUCAGAUGUGAAAGCCCGGGGCUCAACCUCGGAACUGCAUUUGAAACUGGCAGACUAGAGUACUGUAGAGGGGGGUAGAAUUUCAGGUGUAGCGGUGAAAUGCGUAGAGAUCUGAAGGAAUACCGGUGGCGAAGGCGGCCCCCUGGACAGAUACUGACACUCAGAUGCGAAAGCGUGGGGAGCAAACAGGAUUAGAUACCCUGGUAGUCCACGCUGUAAACGAUGUCUACUUGGAGGUUGUGGCCUUGAGCCGUGGCUUUCGGAGCUAACGCGUUAAGUAGACCGCCUGGGGAGUACGGUCGCAAGAUUAAAACUCAAAUGAAUUGACGGGGGCCCGCACAAGCGGUGGAGCAUGUGGUUUAAUUCGAUGCAACGCGAAGAACCUUACCUACUCUUGACAUCCAGAGAAUCUAGCGGAGACGCUGGAGUGCCUUCGGGAACUCUGAGACAGGUGCUGCAUGGCUGUCGUCAGCUCGUGUUGUGAAAUGUUGGGUUAAGUCCCGCAACGAGCGCAACCCUUAUCCUUGUUUGCCAGCGAGUAAUGUCGGGAACUCCAGGGAGACUGCCGGUGAUAAACCGGAGGAAGGUGGGGACGACGUCAAGUCAUCAUGGCCCUUACGAGUAGGGCUACACACGUGCUACAAUGGCGCAUACAGAGGGCGGCCAACUUGCGAAAGUGAGCGAAUCCCAAAAAGUGCGUCGUAGUCCGGAUUGGAGUCUGCAACUCGACUCCAUGAAGUCGGAAUCGCUAGUAAUCGUGGAUCAGAAUGCCACGGUGAAUACGUUCCCGGGCCUUGUACACACCGCCCGUCACACCAUGGGAGUGGGCUGCAAAAGAAGUGGGUAGUUUAACCUUCGGGAGGACGCUCACCACUUUGUGGUUCAUGACUGGGGUGAAGUCGUAACAAGGUAGCGCUAGGGGAACCUGGCGCUGGAUCACCUCCUUA